AUGCUUUAAGCGAAGGGAAAUAUCCGUGUCGGGGUAAACUACGGCUUCCGGAUUCCUGGAUAGAGCAUCUCAUAGGAAAGUACCGUUAGAAAGAUCAACUCGUAAUUGAUUGAGUAUAAAUAACCUCUAGAGGGAGGUCGCGUGGAAACUAUGAUGAAACUCCUAGAAGUGGGCGUGCCUGGCAGAAGGAGUAGGUCGAAAACUGGUUGCUGAAGCAGCGUAAGCUCCCUGAUGUAAACUCCCUGAAGUUAUCAUAGUAAUACAUCAAAGCAAUAUGAAAGUUGGCCAGUAUAAAUAAAUUCCCUGUUAACGGAAAGAGGGUUUGCAAAUCCGACGUCGCGAGACACGGACCUCAUGGGAAGAAGAAACAACUUUAGUGUUAGAGAGAUACUGUUAAUGAGCUCUAACAUGUUCAAAUAUUUUAUUUAAG
rnacentral:ncRNA from 1 species